GCGAGAGUAGUUCAGCGGUAGAACACCACCUUGCCAAGGUGGGGGUCGCGGGUUCGAAUCCCGUCUCUCGCU
rnacentral:tRNA from 2 species